ensembl:lncRNA
CUGAAAUCACGGAUCACAGACUCGUGACUUUCCUAUUUUUGUCUUAGGUUUGCUCCCUGGCUGCCUUAUCCUGCCACAAGUAAUUCUUGCUCUAUGCCUUUAUUUGCAUAUCAUGCUGGGACUGACUGAGAGGUCUCCUAAGGAAUGCACAUUUUCCUUAGAUAUCUAUGAGGAGUAUUUGAUGACCACGACCUUAUCCUUUUCUGCUGCUUCUCUGUUGCUGCCCAUGCACAUCCCCUGAUGCACAGUCUUCUUUCUCUCUCCACAAACACAGACACGAAUUCUCUCUAGUUUCUCCAGGGGGUGAUAACAGCAAGGCUCCUUCCCUCUGGAAACAUAUACAAUUUUGCUGGAGUAAUAAAAACACCAAAGAGGAGAACCAGCAGCAGACACAGGACUGGUUUGAUUUUAUUUUCUCACCUCUGUGGAGAGCGAAGCAGUAAAAUCUUUCAAGAGGCCUGCGUCUGGGUAUCCCGCUGCUGCCUUCAGCCCCAUCUCCUGAGCAGUAGGAGUGGUGGCUUCACAGCCUUUUCAAGUUAUUCA